rnacentral:sRNA from 1 species
GCCGGGCGUGGUGGCGCACACCUGUAGUCCCAGCUAAUCAGGAGGCUGAGGCAGGAGAAUCGCUUGAACCCAGGAGGCGGAGGUUGCAGUGAGCCAGGAUCACGCCACUGCACUCCAGCCUGGGUGACAGAGCGAGACUCCGUCUCAA